UGCGCAGGCGGUUUGUGCAAGACAGAUGUGAAAUCCCCGGGCUUAACCUGGGAAUGGCAUUUGUGACUGCACGGCUAGAGUGUGUCAGAGGGGGGUAGAAUUCCACGUGUAGCAGUGAAAUGCGUAGAUAUGUGGAGGAAUACCGAUGGCGAAGGCAGCCCCCUGGGAUAACACUGACGCUCAUGCACGAAAGCGUGGGGAGCAAACAGGAUUAGAUACCCUGGUAGUCCACGCCCUAAACGAUGUCAACUAGUUGUCGGGUCUUAAUUGACUUGGUAACGCAGCUAACGCGUGAAGUUGACCGCCUGGGGAGUACGGUCGCAAGAUUAAA
rnacentral:rRNA from 1 species